GAUGAACGCUGGCGGCGUGCCUAAUACAUGCAAGUCGAGCGAACAGACGAGGAGCUUGCUCCUCUGACGUUAGCGGCGGACGGGUGAGUAACACGUGGAUAACCUACCUAUAAGACUGGGAUAACUUCGGGAAACCGAAGCUAAUACCGGAUAAUAUAUUGAACCGCAUGGUUCAAUAGUGAAAGACGGUUUUGCUGUCACUUAUAGAUGGAUCCGCGCCGCAUUAGCUAGUUGGUAAGGUAACGGCUUACCAAGGCAACGAUGCGUAGCCGACCUGAGAGGGUGAUCGGCCACACUGGAACUGAGACACGGUCCAGACUCCUACGGGAGGCAGCAGUAGGGAAUCUUCCGCAAAGGGCGAAAGCCUGACGGAGCAACGCCGCGUGAGUGAUGAAGGUCUUCGGAUCGUAGAACUCUGUUAUUAGGGAAGAACAAAUGUGUAAGUAACUAUGCACGUCUUGACGGUACCUAAUCAGAAAGCCACGGCUAACUACGUG
rnacentral:rRNA from 1 species